CCGAGGCACAGCAGCCCAGCAGGGAGGAGGAGGAGGAAAUAAAAUAUACCAGUAAAAAGCUCUGGGUGCUCGCUGUUCUCCGCACAUGCCUGUGUUUCUCCGCAGCUUUUGGCCAACAUGUCAACACAUGUCACUUCUUCACAAAACACCUACCAUUGCUGUAACAUCCCCCCAAACAUCAGCUGCAGAAUGAAUCUACCAGCUUUCACCAGGACUUGGGCUGGUUUCCAUUCAGCGAUGUCCCUUUAUAUUGCAGACAAGCACAUGACAUGUUACUGGGCUUCCAAAGAGCUGGAACGUAUCAGGAACUCCAGGAUUCAAGACGUUCUGCUCCUGUCACGAGUAGCUGGCGCUGAGCUAUAUUGGUGAAGCGAUGUACCAGGCACUUGGCAUUUCACGGUGCUCUGACGUCAUGGUGGGACAUAACUCAUCGGGCUGCGCUUCCACGUGUGACCUGACUGCGCGUCCCGCCAGCUCCCCCGGGAUUCGGGAUGUCUCCGUCUCUGUAACGAGGAUGUUUCUCUGUUGCAAUAACAGCAAAUACACCAGCAGCACUCGGUGCCUUUUGGAAGCAUCUAGCGAGCGGUUUAGUGCAGCCUACGCUUUCCCCAGCUGACCCCACGGGGCCGACACCAUGCCGCCCUCUGAACAGCACACAAAUCCAUCAGGAAGAGUGGAAGAGGGAGAUUCAAAUGAUAGUUAGUGGCUGCCAAAGGAUCAGAAUUAUCUGAAGUGGACACUGAGCUGAUUUUCAUUGGUCAUGUAACAUCUUGAGGUACUUCACAGGUUUUGCUUUGUUUCUUAAAGCUCCAGAUCCUGGGGUAGAGCAGGAGUCUGAAAAGAAGGCUUGGAUUUAAAAACAUCCUCUUGACCACAGGAAAAAAACCUGAGAAAUAUGAGCAAGGUUUACUGAAAACACUCUGAAAGGCAAAGGGAAGAAACCUGUCAUUCCUGCUGCGUCUCAUGAGUUGCAAGUUAAGAUUUCCUUCAAACUGUUUUUGGGUUAGCCCUGACUUCUAAACUCUUGGGGUUGCUGGCGUUGCACUUUUGUACUUGUGGUGUUAUUGAACAAAAUCCCCUUAACCCAAACGAGAGCCUCCCUUCUUCCUCAAGAGUGUUAUUGCAGGCUGGGCCAAACGUUUGAUUUCCUCCUUCUGAGGUCACCUGUGCUAGAAAUACGACCACAAGUCAAUCAGACAUUGCUCAUUGAACUUCAGUGCUGCUAAAUUUGUGAACUUCCCAAUUAAUUCUGCAGGACCUUUUCUUUCUUCCAGCACACAAAUGACGUUCACGCAGAGUCCUCAGCACUGCCCCUGGACGUUGCCUGGGCUCGAGAGGCACAAACGCGUUCUGUCCUGAUGGCAGUACAGUAAUCUGGGCUUGCGUUUAUCUACUCAGGGUCUUUAUUAAAUUUCAGUUACUCGUA